rnacentral:tRNA from 1 species
GUGGCUUAGUGGUAUAGUACAUGCCUAGCAUGCAUGAAGCCCUGGGUUCGAUUCCCUGGAACCACA